UGGCUGGGUCAUCAAAAGUUAUUUCUUGUUUCUACAGACGGUAACGCAGAAGGAAGGAAUUCUCACCUGACCCGGUUCUGAGCAAAGAAAACAAAAACUCCAGGAACAUCUGCUGAGAAGAAAAACACUUUUUGCAUACAAGCAGGAAAAUGAGAUGUUAUCCAGCACAUUCCAAUUUGGAAGAUCCACAUUUCAAGCACUCGUAACAACUCAAUAAUCACAUUUGGCUAGUGGCUACUUUACUGGAUGGUGCAACAUUAGAGCCUCGUUUUCUGCAUAAAUUAAUUCACAAUCUAAGCAAA
rnacentral:lncRNA from 1 species